rnacentral:rRNA from 1 species
GGAGGUGGCGAGCGUUACUCGGAAUCAUUGGGUGUAAAGGGCAAGUAGGCGGCCUGAUAAGUGAGGGGUGAAAUCUUCCGGCUCAAUCGGAAAAUUGCCUUUCAAACUAUCAGACUUGAGGCUGUGAGAGGGAAAUGGAAUUCGCGGUGUAAGGGUGAAAUCUGUAGAGAUCGCGAAGAACACCGGCGGCGAAGGCGGUUUCCUGGCGCAGUCCUGACGCUCAAUUGCGAAAGCUAGGGGAGCAAACAGAAUUAGAUACUCUGGUAGUCCUAGCCGUAAACGAUGAGCACUAGGUGUCGGUCCGUUCAGGAUCGGUGCCGCAGCUAACGCAUUAAGUGCUCCACCUGGGACUACGGCCGCAAGGUUA